CCUACGGGCGGCAGCAGUGGGGAAUAUUGGACAAUGGGGGCAACCCUGAUCCAGCCAUGCCGCGUGUGUGAAGAAGGCCCUCUGGUUGUAAAGCACUUUCAGUGAGGAAGAACGCCUGGUGGUUAAUACCCAUCAGGAAAGACAUCACUCACAGAAGAAGCACAGGCUAACUCCGUGCCAGCAGCCGCGGUAAUACGGAGGGUGCGAGCGUUAAUCGGAAUUACUGGGCGUAAAGCGCGCGUAGGUGGCUUGAUAAGCCGGUUGUGAAAGCCCCGGGCUCAACCUGGGAACGGCAUCCGGAACUGUCAAGCUAGAGUGCAGGAGAGGAAGGUAGAAUUCCCGGUGUAGCGGUGAAAUGCGUAGAGAUCGGGAGGAAUACCAGUGGCGAAGGCGGCCUUCUGGACUGACACUGACACUGAGGUGCGAAAGCGUGGGUAGCAAACAGGAUUAGAUACCCUGGUAGUC
rnacentral:rRNA from 1 species